ACGGGCGGGGGUGGAGUGGUCUGAGCCCCACCUCGCCGUUUCGGCGGUUAAAACCCGGCGGCGGCAGUCUGCAGGAGGAAGGCGGGUUUGCGUGUGGCCCCGUGGGGAAUUCCCUAGGGGUGUCGACGGCUCCGUGGAAACCGCCGCACCUGCCUGCCUCUGCGGCGAUCCCAGUGAGGGCUUAUCCCCCUUCCCUUUUCUUCCACAAAGAAUGGAAGUUUGCAUAAGAAGUGCAUCAUUCUCUAAACCAAACAGCAAAAAGAGAAACAAAAUGCAGAAGAAAAAAGGGAAUAUCACCUCUGUGGCCAAGAUGUUAGAAAAUCGAUAAAAAAAAAUACUGACAGUACUGGCAAACAGCGAUCACGUGAGUACAGGGUGGACGGAAGGUCCCGGGACCCACUCUCAAGCUGUGUCUGAGUCUCUGAGCCAGAUCAGAGGACACAAUGGUAGCUCCUAGGAUUUUUUCCUCCAGGUGGUUCCACUGUAGGCCAUUGGCAAAUGGAUGUGACAAUAAUUGGGCCACCUCUGGGGGUGCUCCAGGACCCAGGAUCUCCUCUCUCGUAUAGCAUAGGAGUAGGAGACGCAUUAGCGAAUUCACUGAAAAGAUUGAGUUGCUACUUUCUGUUGUCAAUGGCUUCUUGAGGGUCACGGCUGAGGUCACGGGAAAAGUGGCACGUUGGCUGUGAAUUUAUUACUGGUAAUUUCCAUCCCUGUCUGCCUGUGGCCUCCACUGGCAGGUGACUCAUGGGUAAGUCCAAAAGAAGUUCGGCCUCGGGAUGCUCUGGUGGGGUUGGCAUGAUGUGAAAUGAGCUGCGCACCCCCCAGUACCAUCCUUAUCAGUAGCUGCGAUAAAGCAGCAUCUGCCCCCACAAAAAGUCAAGGGCGAAGGUCAUCUGGCAUUCCAAGGGAACUCUCCACUGCAGGGAGCCUUCUAAUUGGCUAGUAUUGAUCGGUAAAUUGUGUCCCUGCUGUGAUUAAUUCUGGCCCCCCCAAACUCCCGCAGCAUGAGCGUGAUAGGUCAAGGUUUGGGGCCUCUAAGCAUCCUUUACAAAUGGAGCUCAGGACCUUAAAGGUGCGAGUGAAAGGUUGCAGCUUGUUAACUCUCUCCCGGCUGCUAGUGCGAAGCCAGGAAGCCAGUUUCAUUCAGCCUGCUCUCCCUAAUAGAGGCUUAAUGGGAUGCUAAUGUGAGGAACAGGAGUUAUCAGAUGGCUUGUAUGAUUUAUGAUGGAUUUAUUACCACUCUGAGUUCCCUUGAUGUUCAGUGCAUCCUUUGCCCAUCCAUCCCUGUUAUUGGCCUUAGCAAAUGGUUUCAUAAUUAAUUAAUUUUUUUCCUGAAGGGGGUUAAAUUAUUUUUGCCCUGCUGCUUUUCCUCCAUAUUUAAUUCCCAAGGGAGGAUCCUUCUCUGUGUGCCUAUCAAAGAUGGAAUAUUCUAACUAACAGCUGUUCUCUCCAGUCUCCUCUCUUUCCUACCUACCCUGCCAGCCAAGGCCUAGGCCCUUCUUUCUAGAAUAGGGGUUCUCAAAUUUGAUUUUUCGCUGGAAUUAUCUGGGAGAGCUUAGGCCUGGAUCCUGUUUCUAGAGAUUCUGAUUUAAUUGUUCUGGGGGUACUGCCUUGGUAUUCGGAGUUUGAAAAGCUCCCCAGGAGAUUCUAAUGUGUAGUCACUGAUGGGAACCAUUGAAGUAGUAUCUAAAUUCUUCUUAACUGCUACCUCCCCCAUGAUGUCUUUUCCAUGUUUACCAGUGGACAUGAUCUCUCAUCCCCUGGAAUCCAUAUAACACUUUGUUUAUGUCCUUGGAAUCUAUAUAGUACUUUGUAUAUUUCCACUGACAGCUUCCUUACAGUUUACCUGUUUGUGAACUUGUCUUCUAGCCACUAUUCAACCCUGAGCUUCCCGUGGGCAGGGACUGUGCCUGAGUUAUCUUCGUGCUCCUUGCAUGGAGCCGGAACUCAGUAAAUACUUGUUGAGCAGAGUUUUACCAGUGACCGCACUCUCUGGGAAAUGGGCCCCUGGCCCUCAGUCUCGCAGACAUCUCAGGCCAUGUGAAGGGAUUCUGUCUUAUGACCAUGAAGAUAGAUUUUCCCUGCCAGUGUGUCCCUGCUGCCUCUUACCAGUCCUUCUCACCAGGAUGGUUACAUGUCCUGGUUUGCUGGGGACAGUCACUGUGUAUGCCCUUGGUCCCAGCAUCAUUGUGAAUAGCACCUUCUUUCACUUUCAGAGGUGUUCCGGUGUGGAUGACAAAUUAUAUGGUUCCCCUACUUCUCACCCUCCCUCUGCCCUCCUUCCUCAAGUCAGCCUAGAAAAGACAAACUUCUUCGGGGCUUAGACCUUCUUUACUUGGGAAACUUAAGUAAGCUUCAGAAAGGUCUGUACUGAUACUGUAUAACUUCAUGUAUAAAAAAAAUGGUAAAACAAACAAAACUCAUCCCCAGCGUUAGAAGUCAGGAUAGUGGUUUUCUUUGGGGUCUUCCAAUGCCUGGGCUGGGACACACGGGGCACUCCUGGGAUGCUGGAAAUAUUCUGCUUCUUUAGCUGAGUGUUGGUUACACCGGUAUGUUCAUUUGUGAAAAUUCAUCACAUGGCAACAUUUACCCAUUUUCUGUAUGCAUGUUAUACCUCCAUAAAAAAUUUUUUUAAAGGGAAGGCUAAAUUAUAAUUAGUACAGAACUGCAAAAAAUCAAUACUUAUCCUUAUUAAUUAAUACAAUCGCCUUGAUUGAAGAAUUUUUGUCAAGCACCCGCCAAGUGCUGCAAUAUACAGAGCAGCCAAGAAAUCUGGUGUCUCUCUUCUUGGAGACAUGUGCUGUUCUUGUUUUAUUAAGAAAAUGUAUGUUGCCGGGGUGCCUGGGUGGCUCAGUUGGUUAAGCGACUGCCUUCGGCUCAGGUCAUGAUCCUGGAGUCCCGGGAUCGAGUCCCGCAUCGGGCUCCCUGCUUGGCAGGGGGUCUGCUUCUCCCUCUGACCCUCCCCCCUCUCAUGCUUUCUGUCUCCCAUUCUCUCUCUCAGAUAAAUAAAUAAAAUCUUAAAAAAAAAAAAAAAAGAAAAUGUAUGUUGCCAAUCACCAAAUACAAUGCAGUCUUGUUUAUUAUAUAAUUCUUCCAAUGACUCUACGACCUAGGUGGGUGGUUUCUCAUAUUACAGAUGAGAAAGCUGUCACAGAGCUGAUGAAAAGUGGACUGAGUUUACAUGCAGGUUGAACUUACUCAUAGUAAAUUGAAAAAUCAGCAGGAUUUUCAGCUGUCUUGAUGACAGAAGCAGAUUAAAUGUAUGGCCUAUCUUAUUGAUUGGGCAGAAAUCAAGUAAGAAAGCUUAAAACAAGACAAAAUUAAACUACAACCAGAACAUAAACAAUUUUGUGGCUUUAAGUAGAAAAGACCACAGACUCAGUAGCUGAAUUGAGAUUAAAAUCGAUAGUUUUUGUGUUUCCAGAAGGUAUUAUAAAAUUCCAGGCACCAUGAGGAUCUCAGUCUCAGAGUAAGAGAAUUUGCCGAGGGUUCAACACAAGCCCUGUCUGUGUUUGAGCCCCGUUCUCCUCGCCCAGGGCAGAGGUGGAGCAGCAUGGAACCUUCCCAGAGAGUCCUUAAUGACUGUCCCCAUCUCCUUUCCAUUCUACUCCCACUAAGCACGACCAAGAGAAAUGUCUUGCCUUUUUGGAUGUAGCUGACGUGGGCAAAUUAAGUGAAUUAAUUUUCAUUAUUACAGGUAAUAAAUAAAUCUUGUGGUGAAAUAAAUCAUAUAUGUAAUACUGGACUAAAAAAAUGUGGCUCAAAACACACAAAGGUGAGUAAAAACAGAAACUAACAAAAACAGAGAAUGUCAGAGAGUUAUCUAUUCGAACAAAAAUAAAACAGCAAAAUCCUCUGGUACCGUACUGGAGUGAGUUUUAGCUACUCAUGCUAUGUUAGCUGUUGAUGAAAUGUCAUUGAGUUAAAAUAAAAUAAGUCUGUAGUCCCAGAUAACACUCUACAAGAUCAAAUAAUGUUAGGCCACUAUACCCAGUUAUAUGAAGAAAUAACUCAUAGCAAUGUACCAAUAUGUCAAGAUUUUUCACGGGAAGCGAUAUGAAAACUAGCUGGAUGGUGUCAGGCUUGUUUAAAAGCUCAUUUGCUCCCCUUCGUCACUGUCCUUUCACCUUUCUAUGUCAUAUAUCCUGGUCUCUUGUCGAUUUGGUUGUCAAAGUACCAGCUUAAUAGUGCUGCUCCCUCCACAGAGAUGUGUUAAAUGUAAAGAUGGCCAAGUUCCCUGCCGAAAGGGAAAUGCAAAGGGCUGGAGCCAGCUGAAGUCAUGAGAUAUCCGGUGACAAUAAGACUGUGUCAUUUUAUGACACGUCUCCCCGAGGUACCAAUGAACUUUACACAGUUUUUUUCCUGCUUUAUUAUUCUGACAUCCUGGGGAAAAAAGAGAGAGAGAGAGGACGAGGAAAGACAUUUCCAUUCUACACAAAGGAAGGUUGGGCUCAAAGAAGUUAAAUGAAUUGCUCUGGAUCGCUUUAGUUUUUGGGAUUUCCUGGUUUCCGUAAACAACCACCAAUCUGCCUGCACCUCUCACACAUGCAAGCACACCUCUCUCCACAACCCCACGGCACUCUGCGCUCAGAGGAGCGGAGUUCAUGUCUGUGAUGGCUGUGGGGCGUCUGAGGUCAAGGAGGACGCUCAGAGCUUCCCGCCACCUGAAAUGCCUCACAACACAGAUCAUGCACACCAUCCCUUCCUGGUUCCGUGAGACAAGUGUUUGUUUCAUUAAACUCAACCUGUUUGGGGUCCUUUUCCACCUCCUGAGAUUUCACAUCUACAAGAUCCAGUUAGCGUACCCAAGUCAUAGGAGGCUGUCCAACAAGACGACUCAUUUUCCAGCUUUUGAGUCGAAAGACCUGAGUUGAACUUCUAGUUCUGCCCACUUCACUGAAGAGAAGAUCUGUGUCUGUCUUAUUCUGUCAAAUGGUCAAGUUGAGUAACCUCUUGUGGCUUCCGAUUUCUUAUCUAAGGGGUAUUUUGGAGAACUGAUUUUAUUUUUUUAAGGGCUGACUAAUUUUAAACAGUCUAACACAGGAGUUGUCCAAGUGUAGUGUAGUGUGCGUGCUAUCGAUUUAUGGAAAUAAAAUUUUACUAGAACACUAUCAUGCCCAUUCAUUUAAGGCUAUCGUUUGUUUAUCGUCUACCCUUGCUUUUUUGCUACAAUGUCAGAGUUGAAUAGUUGCUGCACACAAUAGGAUGAACUAUGGGUUAGUUGCUUAAUCUGUUUUGAUUUUUAGGUUGGUUCUUACUCCUUAUUAGGUGCUCCCAAUUGGUCAUUCUCUGGUCAUUCUAUCCUUCCCUAGGAAGGGACUGACUACACUUUCUUUUAGUAGUGGUUUCCUAGAGAGUUUUGACUUCACUUUGGGAACUUCUACAUCUUCAUAAUAAUGGGAAGUUCCUCUGCAGUGGAUGGGGUUUGCAUGGACUGGGAACAGGAGUGAGUGGGAAAAGCUGUAUUUCCUACUUCUUGAGUGGGCUCAGUGAGGGGCCAUCACAGACAUCACUUUAGCCUCUUAGCUCUAUGUAUUUUUUUGGUCAAAGUUUCCAUAAUUUGAUUUUUAGUAAUGAAAUCUUUAAACAGAAACAGUUUUUUUUUUUUUAAAGGAGGGGUAUGUGGUAUCAGGAACAAGUCUAAAUUUUUUCCCCCAAAUUUCAACAUUGCUUAAAAAAAAGAAAAGGGGCAGCUGGGUGGCUUAGUCAAUUAAACAUCUGACUUAUGAUUUUGGCUUAGGUCACGAUCUCUGGGUUGUGAGAUCAAGCCCCGUGUCGGGCUCCAAGUUGAGCGGGGAGUCUGCUUGAGAUUCUUUCUCUCCCUCUCCUUCCCACCACCACUCACGCUCUUUCUCUUUGGACAAAAACGAAAAGAAAAAGAAAAAGAAAAAAAGGCCAUUCAUGAUUACUUUGUGAGAACAAUACAGUAAAAAGAGGCCUGCUUUGGGAAGUCAGAAAAUCUGGGUCCAAGUCAAAGUUCAUCUUGGUUUUAUUAUGUUGGGCAAGUCACUUAGUUUCUGAUUAUCAUUUGCUUCAUAAAGAAAUAGGGAUAAUAAUAAUAAUAUUUGUUUCACUGCAUGGUUUUGAAGCAUAAAAGAGAAUGCAGUAGAAAGCUUUGUAAACUAUAAAGCCAUCUAUAAAUGUGACCCAUAUAUAUAACAAGGUCUGUUCCAGGGUUUCUUAUUACUUUCCUUUGGUUUAUGUUUUUCUAUUUAUAUCAAACUCACAGUUUUAAUUAUGGAUGUUUUACAAAAGGGUCUGGUAUCUGACAGGAUUAAUGCCUAAGAAUGUGUUUUGCUAGUUUUUCCUGUUUAGAGUUUUGAGCCGUCGUUAUAAGGUAAUGCACCAAGCUUGGGAAUUAGUGCCAAUUUUAACGACUUCUAAGAAGAGUCCUGUUGCAGUUUUGGAUAGAAUUAUUUUAAUAAUUUAAGGUUAAGAAGUCUUGGCAUCUUUAUGUUGAAUUUUUCCAUCUAGUAAAAAUGUAACUCUUCUUAUUAUUAAAACCUCUCAAUGAAGGUUUUAAAAAAUUUAAUCCAUUUCUCACUGAAUUUGUAGGUAUUUUAUAUUUGUUUCUAUUGGAAUAGCUUCUUUUCUGUUUUAUCAUCUCUGGUUAUUGGGAAUACAUAAGGAAUACUAUUCCUUUUUUGGUAUUUCUCUUAUUCCAAGCCAUUUUAUGGCUCUUCAUUAAUUAAGAACACUUUUAACUAAUUUAUUUGGUUUUCCCAGUUACAUACUUCUGUGAUUUUCGAGUACAUCAUUAUCUUUUUUAUUUUUUUAAUUUAUUUAUUUUAUUCUUAUGUUAAUCCCCAUACAUUACAUCAUUAGUUUUAGAUGAAGUGUUACAUGAUUCAUUGUUUGUGCGUAACACCCAGU